rnacentral:rRNA from 1 species
UACGAAGGGUGCGAGCGUUAAUCGGAAUUACUGGGCGUAAAGCGUGCGUAGGUGGUUGAAUAAGUUAGGUGUGAAAUUCCUGGGCUUAACCUGGGGACUGCGCCUAAUACUGUUGAGCUAGAGUAUUGUAGAGGAAAGUGGAAUUUCCGGUGUAGCGGUGAAAUGCGUAGAUAUCGGGAGGAACAUCAGUGGCGAAGGCGACUGCCUGGCCCAACACUGACGCUGAGGUGCGAAAGCGUGGGUAGCAAACAGG